AUUUUUACAAUGAAGAGUUUGAUCCUGGCUCAGGAUGAACGCUAGCGGCAGGCUUAACACAUGCAAGUCGAGGGGCAGCGCGAGUAGCAAUACUUGGCGGCGACCGGCGCAAGGGUGCGUAACGCGUGAGCAACAUGCCCGUAUCAGGGGGAUAAUCCAGGGAAACUUGGUCUAAUACCCCAUAGUAAUCUUAGGAGGCAUCUUUUAGGAUUUAAAGCUUUGGUGGAUACGGAUUGGCUCGCGUGACAUUAGCUAGAUGGUAAGGUAACGGCUUACCAUAGCUAUGAUGUCUAGGGGUUCUGAGAGGAAGGUCCCCCACACUGGAACUGAGACACGGUCCAGACUCCUACGGGAGGCAGCAGUGAGGAAUAUUGGACAAUGGAUGGAAAUCUGAUCCAGCCAUGCCGCGUGAAGGAAGAAUGUCCUAUGGAUUGUAAACUUCUUUUGUAUGGGAGCAAUAAGGUCUUCGUGAAGACUGAUGAGAGUACCAUACGAAUAAGCAUCGGCUAACUCCGUGCCAGCAGCCGCGGUAAUACGGAGGAUGCGAGCGUUAUCCGGAUUUAUUGGGUUUAAAGGGUGCGUAGGCUGUUAUAUAAGUCAGUGGUGAAAUAUUCGGGCUCAACCGGGAUACUGCCAUUGAUACUGUAUAGCUGGAAUAUGGUUGCUGUGAGUGGAAUGUGUGGUGUAGCGGUGAAAUGCAUAGAGAUCACACAGAAUAUCGAUUGCGAAGGCAACUCACAAAGCCAUUAUUGACGCUGAUGCACGAAAGUGUGGGGAUCAAACAGGAUUAGAUACCCUGGUAGUCCACACUGUAAACGAUGAUAACUAGCUGUCGGCGAUACACAGUCGGUGGCCAAGCGAAAGCGAUAAGUUAUCCACCUGGGGAGUACGACCGCAAGGUUGAAACUCAAAGGAAUUGACGGGGGCCCGCACAAGCGGAGGAACAUGUGGUUUAAUUCGAUGAUACGCGAGGAACCUUACCCGGGCUCGAACGGUGCAGGAAUAUGGUAGAGAUAUCAUAGCUAGCAAUAGUCUGUAUCGAGGUGCUGCAUGGUUGUCGUCAGCUCGUGCCGUGAGGUGUCGGCUUAAGUGCCAUAACGAGCGCAACCCUUGUCGUUAGUUACCAUCAAGUAAUGUUGGGGACUCUAGCGAGACUGCCACCGUAAGGUGUGAGGAAGGGGGGGAUGACGUCAAAUCAGCACGGCCCUUACGUCCGGGGCGACACACGUGUUACAAUGGUAGGUACAGAGGGGCGCUAUCCAGCGAUGGAGUGCGAAUCUCAAAAACCUAUCUCAGUUCGGAUCGGAGUCUGCAACUCGACUCCGUGAAGUUGGAUUCGCUAGUAAUCGCGCAUCAGCCAUGGCGCGGUGAAUACGUUCCCGGGCCUUGUACACACCGCCCGUCAAGCCAUGGAAGCUGGGGGUGCCUGAAGUUCGUGACCGCAAGGAGCGACCUAAGGCAAAACUGGUAACUGGGGCUAAGUCGUAACAAGGUAGCCGUACCGGAAGGUGUGGCUGGAACACCUCCUUUUUGGAGCU
rnacentral:rRNA from 1 species